UCCGAGUUGACCCCGGCAGUCUCCUGCGAGUCCCCGGCUUUACCCGCUGGCAACACAGGACAAGGGUUGCGCUCGUUGCGGCACUUAAGCCAACACCUCACGGCACGAGCUGACGACAGCCAUGCAUCACCUGUGCUAGCCCCUUACGGACACGGGCUUUCACCCGCUUUAACUAGCAUGUCAAGUCUAGGUAAGGUUCUUCGCGUUGCAUCGAAUUAAGCCACAUGCCCCGCCGCUUGUGCGGGCCCCCGUCAAUUCCUUUGAGUUUCAGCCUUGCGGCCGUACUCCCCAGGCGGGGCACUUCAUGCGUUUGCGCCGGCCCCCAAGGGGUCGCUCCCCCAGAGACCUAGUACCCAUCGUUUACGGCGUGGACUAC
rnacentral:misc_RNA from 1 species